GUACCUUCAAGCUCUGCUUGGUGUUGGGUGCCGUCCUUAGUUGGGCGCGCCUUAAAGACCUCGGCGAGGCCUCACCGGCUUUAGGCGUAGUAGAAUUUAUUCGAACGUCUGUCAAAGGAGAGGAACUCCGCCGACUGAAACCUUUAUUUUUCUA
rnacentral:misc_RNA from 1 species